rnacentral:rRNA from 1 species
CAAGGUUUCCGUAGGUGAACCUGCGGAAGGAUCAUUACCGAGUUCUCGGGCUUCGGCUCGAAUCUCCCACCCUUUGUGAACAUACCUCUGUUGCUUUGGCGGCUCUUUGCCGCGAGGAGGCCCUCGCGGGCCCCCCCGCGCGCUUUCUGCCAGAGGACCUUCAAACUCCAGUCAGUAAACGUCGACGUCUGAUAAACAAGUUAAUAAACUAAAACUUUCAACAACGGAUCUCUUGGUUCUGGCAUCGAUGAAGAACGCAGCGAAAUGCGAUAAGUAAUGUGAAUUGCAGAAUUCAGUGAAUCAUCGAAUCUUUGAACGCACAUUGCGCCCCCUGGCAUUCCGGGGGGCAUGCCUGUUCGAGCGUCAUUACAACCCUCAAGCUCUGCUUGGUAUUGGGCGCCGUCCUCUCUGCGGACGCGCCUUAAAGACCUCGGCGGUGGCUGUUCAGCCCUCAAGCGUAGUAGAAUACACCUCGCUUUGGAGCGGUUGGCGUCGCCCGCCGGACGAACCUUCUGAACUUUUCUCAAGGUUGACCUCGGAUCAGGUAGGGAUACCCGCUGAACUUAAGCAUAU